UACGUAGGGUGCAAGCGUUAAUCGGAAUUACUGGGCGUAAAGCGUGCGCAGGCGGUUAUGUAAGACAGUUGUGAAAUCCCCGGGCUCAACCUGGGAACUGCAUUUGUGACUGCAUGGCUAGAGUACGGCAGAGGGGGAUGGAAUUCCGCGUGUAGCAGUGAAAUGCGUAGAUAUGCGGAGGAACACCGAUGGCGAAGGCAAUCCCCUGGGCCUGUACUGACGCUCAUGCACGAAAGCGUGGGGAGCAAACAGG
rnacentral:rRNA from 1 species